rnacentral:rRNA from 1 species
AUUGAACGCUGGCGGCGGGCCUAACACAUGCACGUCGAGCGAGCGGCGGACGGGUGAGUAAUGUCUGGGAAACUGCCUGAUGGAGUGGGAUCACUACUGGAAACGGUAGCUAAUACCGCAUACCAUCAGAUGUGCCUAGAUGGGAUUGGCUAGUGGGUGGGGUAACGGCUCACCUAGGCGACGAUCCAUAGCUGGUCUGAGAGGAUGACCAGCUACACUGGAACUGAGACACGGUCUAGACUCCUACGGGAGGAAGCAGUGGGGAAUAUUGCACAAUGGGCGCAAGCCUGAUGCAGCCAUGCCGCGUGUGUGAAGAAGGCCUUCGGGUUGUAAAGCACUUUCAGCGGGGAGGCGUUACCCGCAGAAGAAGCACCGGCUAACUCCGUGCCAGCCGCCGCGGUAAUAC